AGGAUUUUAUUCAACUGGAACUAAUUUUUGUGAAUGGUGUGAAGGAAGGAUCCAUUUCAAUUUACUUAUAGAAGAGAGGGUGGAGUGGGAAGGCUGUUGGCAGGGGUACUAACAUAACUUUCACAUAAAAAAUCAUUAACUGUCUUGUCAUCGUGUCUCCUUAUUACCCAGCCUCUACACAAGCCAACUCAAAGCAUGAACUUUUCUAGGGACCCUUUGGACAGACUGACUCCCUUUACUGAAAUCCCUGUCAUGCCAACAUUUCAGUUUUGGAAUUACAGCUUAGAAGCUUAACAACUUUUCUAUUUAAAUGACAUGUGUUUAAUACAAUUCAUCUACCUGAAAUUAAGAGAGGUUUGGCAUGUCACGGAGCAAAAUCUACUCGUAAGCUGAGCUGAUAUGUAGAUGACCUAAACAGCUGAACUGACUUGUCAAAUAUUGAAAUCCUUCCACACUGGUUGGUAAACAGCAGAGGAACCACUCCCAGUUAAAAGACCAAGAGCAUUCCCCUGAAAGAACAAACAGUGAAACAGACCUCUUCAUUCUAAUAGACACUGAUUUCAAAAAGGAGAUAAUGAAAAUACUGGAGGAGUAAGAAAAGCUAUUGACAGAAAUGCAGAGUACUGUAAAAGGGAACUAGAAACUAUACAGAGGAACCACAAAAAAUCAGAAAACUCAUCUGCAGAGAUGAAAGCUAAGGGCAAUGAAUAGCAGAAUGAACGAUGCAGAAGAAUGAAUAAGUGACCUGGAACAUAGAAUAAUGGAAAUCACCCAACAAGGACAGCAGACAGAAAGCCAAAUAAAAAAAAUGAAAGCAAUAUAAGAGACCUAUGGGAUAAUAUAAACCAUGCCAAUCUACACAUAAUGGGGAUUCCAGAAGGAGAAGAAAAAGGGGAUCAAAAAUGUAUUUGAAAAAAUUAUGUCUGAAAAAUUCCCAAUGGGGCUUCCCUGGUGGUGCAGUUGUUGAGAGUCUGCCUACCGAUGCAAGGGACACAGGUUCGUGCCCUGGUCCGGGAAUAUCCCACAUGCUGCAGAGUGGCUAGGCCUGUGAGCCAUGGCCGCUGAGCCUGCGCGUCCAGAACCUGUGCUCCACAAUGGGAGAGGCCACAAUAGUGAGAGGCCCGAGUACCACAAAAAAAAAAAAAUUCCCAAACCUAAAGAAGGAAACACAUAUCCAGGUACAGGAAGCACAGAGGGUCCCAAGUAAGAUAAAUCAAAACAGACCUACACCAAGACAUAUUACAAUAAAAAGAGCAAAAGUUAAAGAGAGAAUUCUAAAGGCAGCAAGAGGAAAACAAAGAGUUCAUUACAAGGAAACCCCCAUAAGGCUACCAGGUGAUUUCUCUACAGAAAUGCUGCAGGCCAGAAGGGAGUGGCAAGAUAUAUUCAAAGUCCUGAAAGGGAAAAAUAUACAACCUAGGAUACUCUACCUAGCAAGAUUAUCAUUUAAAAUAAAAAGAGAGAUAAAGAAUUUCUCAGACUCAACAAAAACUAAAAUACUAAAUCUAUCCUAAAGGAAACAUUGAAAGGUCUUCUCUAAAUAGAAAAGAAGAAUCUAUAGGAAAGAAAAAAACAUCACAAUUGGAAAGUAAAUUACUUAAAUUUACAUUAAAUUUAAAGCCAGGACACAGACAAAAAAAAAAAAAAUCCAAAAAUUUGUGUGAAAAUGAUGGUAACCACAAUGAACAGCAAAAGGAUGAACAAGAUGUAAAACAGGACAUCAAAAUCAAAAAAUGUGGGGGAGGAGAGUAAAAAAGCGUAGAUUCUUUUUCUUUCCUAGAAUGAAUGUGUUUCAGCCUAUAUAACUACCAGUCUAAGGCAAGUAGAUAUAGGAAGGGGUUAACAUUCUUGAAAAAUAGGGUACCCACAAAUCAAAAACAUACAGUAGAUUCACAAAAACCAAAAAGAAGAGAACAUAAGUAUAAUACCAAAGAAAAUCAUGAAACCACAAAAGAAAAAAUAAGGGACAAAGAAGAAAUAUAAAAUCAACAGGAAAACAAGGUUUUCAAUAAAUACAUAUCUAUCAGUAAAUACAUAAAUAAAUAUCAGUAAUUACCGUAACUGUCAAUGGACUAAAUCCUCCAAUCAAAAGACACAGAGUGGCAGAUUGGAAAAAAAAAACACAAA